rnacentral:lncRNA from 1 species
CGAGAUCAUACUUGGAGGGGUCGUUUUGAACAUGCCAACAAACAAACCCAUGUGUGAAAGAUUGCUUGGAGCCUUGAAGACUUGAGGACUCACGUGUUUGGACCUUAUUUGAUGGUUCACGGUUUUGGUUCCCUUUAUUAAGGGCAUUUUUGGUCACUUAGCCUUAAGGGCAUUUUGGUAACUUAGCCUUGUCCAUUUGACACUCCAUGGCCGCCCCUCCUUCAUUAAGGGCAUUGGAGUCAUUUUGCUACUCAUUAUGUAAUAAGGCUAUAUAUAGUCUCUUUUAGGUCUUAUCUCUUUAGUUUAUGAAUGAUGAAUGUAUGAAACAUUGAAACUCCUCUCUCUUAAGAGUAAAACACCUUAGUGUAGUUCUUAGUUAGGGCUUGGAAAAGCCACCUUAGUGUAGGGCUUGGAAAAUCUAGUGUUGACCCUUGCUCUGAAACGGUAGAUCUUGAGGUAAGUCGAUUACCCUGGCGGUCAACGUAAGAGUGCGGUGUUGAUUGUUACAUUCAUUAGGGGUUAGUGUUGAAAGUACACUUGGUUCUUAAUCUUGUAAUAAUCUUUGUCUCACUAUCUUGUCGUGUUUGUUCUUGUUGUCUACUCUCGGCUUUGUGGUGUUGUUGGCCAACAUUGUUGUUAUUGUUAUCUUAUUCAUCAUCUUGUAUUGUAACUUGGUUUGGGUUGGCUGUUUUGGUGUGUUAAACUGAACACCUUUGUUCAUCUCGUUUGUUAGUUGUUCGUUGAAUCCGAGAGUUGGUCACCAAAGAGGUCCUCGAUUUUCUUGAACUUGUGGACUGAUUUUGGUGUGUGUGUGGUGUUUCCAAUUUUGUUCUCAUAUCAGUUAUUCUCCCCAUUGAACUUGUGUAAAGCUUAGACCAGCUAUGUUGUAUAAGGCGGAGUGUUGAUCAGUCAAGAACUCGCAUCUUGACUCUCACAUCUAAAAGCUGAAG